rnacentral:misc_RNA from 1 species
UGUCCUGACUAAGGAUACUGCUGGAACAGUGAAGUUGUGGGAGAUCACUAGAGGCACUGUGAUUCACAACUAUGGAGAGGUUUCAUUUGAGAAGAAGAAAGAAGAACUUUUUGAGAUGGUGAGCAUCCCUGCAUGGUUCACUGUGGACACUAAGCUUGGAAACUUGUCUGUACAUCUGGAUACACCACAAUGCUUUUCUGCUAAGAUGUACUCUGCUGAUCUCCACAUUCCAGGGAAGCCUGAAGAUGACAAGGUUAAUUUGGCACGAGAAACCCUUAAAGGGCUGUUGGCUCAUUGGUUAGCCAAAAGAAAACAGAGAUUUGGAUCUCAAGCUUUGGCCAAUGGGGAAGCCCCAGCUGGA